rnacentral:rRNA from 1 species
GGCUCCCCCGACGUCAUUCCAAGUGAUCCCGAAGGAUUGCAACGUGUGUUAUUGUACUUGAAAGAAGCCUACGGAGACAUUCCCAUUUAUAUCCAAGAGAAUGGUCAAUCAUCUAGUAAUGACACUCUUGAAGACAUCGACAGGACCGAAUACUUAAAGAGCUACAUAGGGAGCACAUUGGCUGCAGUAAGGAGUGGAGCCAAUGUGAAAGGCUACUUCGCCUGGGCGUUCUUGGACGCCUUCGAGUGCCUGUCAGGGUAUCAGGAACGUUACGGACUGUACCGUGUUGAUUUCGACGACAAGGCGCUCCCACGACAUGCCAGGCUAUCUGCUCGCUGGUACUCCGCCUUCCUGAAGACCCAGGACAUCCAUGUUCAGAGUGAGCUCAACAACACAGGAUGGCAUGCUGAACAAUGA